rnacentral:misc_RNA from 1 species
UAAAAGUUAUACCUCAGGCGUUCGUCCGACCAGAGAGUUUUUAAUUCUUGCGUUGGUAGCAACGGGGCAUCGAACCGUGAACAGCGCUCGCACGAUCGUUACGUGACUCACGUCAAAAUUCGCCGACAAAUCGAAGGGCGCAAACGUCGGCACGGUCGCGCCGCUUUUGGAACAGUCGCCAGGAAAAUUUCGGGUAAUGUAGAAAUGCUCCAGGAUCACGAACUCUUCGUUCGGCUGUGUCAGAAGCGCGGUAUUUCCUCGAUCCCCGAGAUAUCAGAUGCGUUCAGAGCUAGCAGCACCACCGGAGAGCUACGAUUGUCUUGCCUGUCGAUAAUUAUACCGGUCUGCGAGAUUAUAGCGCAGACCUUGGUAUCCAGCGCGACGAUCAAGACCCUUGACAUGAGCGAUUGCAUGCUGUUGCCAAAGGGUCUGGACGGCAUCCUUGAUGCACUCUGCGAGGGCACCGCCGUCACCACUCUGAAAUUAAAGGGUAACAACGUGAACGGUCCAAUCGUAACCCACCUGGGCCGGGUCCUCGCGUGUAACAACACGCUCAAGCGUCUGCAUGUCGAGUGGAAUAGCAUGGGAGCCCACGCGGACUCGUUCGCCGCAUUCUGCGACGGUCUAACGAGGAACCACAACAUCGAACAGCUCGAUCUUAGAUAUAACCAGAUAUCGCCGCAGUGCGCCGAGCAUCUGUGCAGAGUGAUACAGCGGAACAAGUCUCUGAGAAGUAUCGACCUAUCCUGGAACACGUUGGGCCUGCAGGGCGGUCGAUUGCUGUUGAACGCGAUCGGCGACAACAAGACCAUCACCGACCUCGUUCUGCGCGGAAACUGCGUACCCGAAGACAUUGCGCUCGCGAUGGAAGAACGAUUGCGAGAGAAUCGCCGUAGAUGUGUUGCCACUGAGUUCGUCCUGCCUUCCGCGGACGUCGCGAGCUCCCCCCCGUUAACGGCGGAGAAGCAAGGCCUCAUGACACCAACGGCGGCCAGAGAUGCUUAUGUCGGAAUCAUUAGUAGCACUCCGGAAAAGCCGCGAACGUCGCGAGGAAAAGGGAAAGUCCACAAGGCUUCUCAAGGGUCCAAGGACCUCGUGCAGAUUGCCGACGAAAUUAGUCCUUCGAUUGAAACGAAAUCAGAAGCAAACGUCGGCUUGGAAGAUGGCAAUCGAGGUUCCAGCGCGCGAGGCGAUCACAUUUCCCUGGUAGAUCGCGACGACAGAGUGAUCGAAACGGAGCCCAAGCUCGCUGAUCUCAACGAGAUGUUGCGAGAGCGCAGCGCGGCGAUCGAUCUGCUGACCGACAAGCUCGCGAUGAAGGUUGCGGAAGUGGAUGACACGCGGGCACAGCUAGGCCUGCUGCAGACGGAGAUUCAUCAGCUGCAGCAGGAGAAAGCAAGGUUCGACUCGGACAAGGCGGGGGAAAUUGCACGACUGCAGAAGAAUCACAGCGAGGCGGAGGAGAACUGGCGGAGGAGUUACAAAGACUUGAAGAACAAUUACAACGAAUGUUCGCGAAACAAGAAGGAAGCAGAUUUCAAGAUUCGUCAGUACGAAAAAGAGAUUCACAAAAGUUCGCUAGAGCUCGGUCUGCUGAGGGACAAACUCGUCUCUGCUACACGAGCGUACGAGGAUCUGCUGUCGAACCACAAAACCGAGAUGCACCGUCUGAGAAGGGAGUCGAAAGAGCGCGAUAACAAACAUCGCAUCGAGCUCAACAUCCUGAAGAGCACGCUGAGGGAGACCACGCAGGCUCUCGAGGACUGCCAGACCGAGCUGCAAAAAUCCAGAGGCGAGUCACGUGACUUGAGCGAGAACCAAGCCCUCUUAAAGGCGAAACUGGACGACGCAGAGCGCAAAGUGCUCAGGUAUGCAAGAAUAGAAGAGAAUUGCCAAAGGCUAAAAGAGGAGAAGAAUACGUUGCAGGAGAAAUUAGUUGAUUCGCAAAGAACCGUGUCCUCCCUGCAGCGGCAAGUUACAAGCCUCGAGGGCGAGCUGAUCGAGCCUGAAAGACGUUACAAUUUGCUCAAGGAGGAGCUCGAUUUGGAGAAACAGACGAACGAGAGAUUCAAGCGAGAACUUGGCGAGGAACGAGCCAGAUUGAAGGAUCAGGCUUUCCAGGCGGAAAAGAUGAAUCAACAACUCGCCGCGCUCAAUGCGCGACUGAACGAGGUUCAGACUACUCACGCUGAGGUGCUCCGCGAGCGGGACAGAGAAAGAAAGCAACUCCAAGAGAUUAUUUCAAGCAAGGAACGUAAUUUAUCGAGAUUACGCACCGAGGAAGUUCAAAGAACAGAGCAGCUCUAUGCGGCUUUCACCAAGUACCUGAGUUCCUUGGGUCCGAGUCCUGUUACGUGAUUCUUGUCGAGCAUCAACAAAUUUGCUCUCAAGCGCACAAAGUCCUUCGAACUUCGAGGAAAGCAGAACGUCCGAAAUUCUCAGGAAACCUCGUAAUCGUCGAUUUGCAAACUAGAUACAUCCAUCCGACCGUUGGCGUAUAUUGCAGCUACGUCCUAUUCCUAUAAAUAAUAAACUAUAGAAAUUUCCUAGUU